GCCCGACUCGCCUCCAGCCGCGGGGUGCCGGCGGGCUACGCUGCGCCCCUCGGCGCCCACCCCGGCGGGGGCCCGGGCGGGGGUGUGUGUCCUCCAGGAGCUGCGGGGACCCCUGCGGCCGGACCUUGCGACCCGUUUUCCAAUCCCACGGUGGCGACGGCGACAGCAACGGUAAUAGUAUCGCCAGGAGAAAACAGAGGCCUCCCCAGCCACACUGGAAGGUACCAGCCAUUGCUGUCGCUCUCGGGAACUGCUACACCAGCCUCCUUCCUGGUGUCCUGUGCCUGCCCCUUCCCACUGCCAUCAGCAGCCAGAGGGGUCCUGUUAAAAGCAAGGCAGCUACACACCGCCCCCCCUACCCCCCCGCACAGAACCCGCAAUGGCCUCCCCACCAUGGUUAGUCCACAACCCGGCCAGAUACGAUCCAGCAAUUCCAUUUCUGGGUCGGCACCCACAAGAAUUGAACGCAGGGACCCAAACAGAUAUUUGCACCCUAAGUUGAUAGCAUCAUUAUUCCCAAGAGCCAAGCAAUGGAAGCCAUCCAAGUGUCUGCCCACUGUUGAAUAAAGCAAAUGUGGCUUCUGCAUACGAUGGAAAAUGACUCAGCCUUAAAAACGAAAGAAAUGUUGACACAGGCUACAAACUCUGAGCCUUGAAGAUGCUGUGCUAAAUGAGAUAAGGCAGUCAAAGAAGGGCCCAUAUGGUAUCUGAAAGUUUCAUUGGAUUCAGGUUAAUAAAGAUGCUUUCUGAAGAGGAUGCUGCGGACAAGGACAGUGUUAAGAGGAUCUGUUUUCCACAUAGACCUUCCACCCGGCUCUCUCCUAGAUAUUCAAGCAAGAGAAAUGAAAAUGGAUGUCCACACAAAGACUUGUACUUGGAGGGGCAUUAUUCAUAAUGUCCCCAAACUGGAUAUUUGGGACAAGCCAAAUAUCAACAGGUGAACGGGAAACAAUUUGCAAUACAUCCAUAUGGCGAUGACCACUCAGCAAUGAAAAGGAGCUACACCUUAGAUCCGUCUCAGAAUCACCGUGCUGAGUAAAAGAAACCAGA